UUAGCUUAAAUUAAUGCAGGAUCUACACUUUGGAAAUGGAAUCCACAUAAAGUGGUGGGACAUACAUUGAUUUCACUCAA
rnacentral:pre_miRNA from 1 species